rnacentral:rRNA from 1 species
GUGGGGAAUCUUGCGCAAUGGGCGAAAGCCUGACGCAGCCAUGCCGCGUGAAUGAUGAAGGUCUUAGGAUUGUAAAAUUCUUUCACCGGGGACGAUAAUGACGGUACCCGGAGAAGAAGCCCCGGCUAACUGCGUGCCAGCAGCCGCGGUAAUACGAAGGGGGCUAGCGUUGCUCGGAAUUACUGGGCGUAAAGGGCGCGUAGGCGGAUCGUUAAGUCAGGGGUGAAAUCCCAGAGCUCAACUCUGGAACUGCCCUUGAUACUGGCGAUCUUGAGUGUGAGAGAGGUAUGUGGAACUCCGAGUGUAGAGGUGAAAUUCGUAGAUAUUCGGAAGAACACCAGUGGCGAAGGCGACAUACUGGCUCAUUACUGACGCUGAGGCGCGAAAGCGUGGGGAGCAAACAGGAUUAGAUACCCCAGUAGUCC